AGAUGUGAGGGAGAUCUGGCUGCGACAUCUGUCACCCCAUUGAUCGCCAGGGUUGAUUCAGCUGAUCUGGAUGGCUAGGCGGGUGUCCCCUUCCUCCCUCAAUGCUCCAUGUGCGUCUCCCUGAAGCUGCACUCUGGGUUGAAGAGGACGACCUUCCCCGAUAGAAGGAGGACUGUCUUUCGGUCAAGGGUAUAUGAGUAGCUGCGCUCCCCCGCUAGACCCUGCAAACAAGUCUCAAGGACAAAUAGCGAUCCCAAGUGUCACACACAGUAGAACUGCUCCAUAGGGUUUCCUAGCUGCAGUCUUGGUAGGAGUGGGUUUCCAAGU
rnacentral:snRNA from 1 species